ensembl:lncRNA
GGUAUGUAGAAUAUGAACAACAAGAAAGCACUGUGAGAGUGCAAACCUGCAUCAGUGCAGUACAACACUUCAAUACGUCCAUGCAAUGCCGUACUCUCUCAGCAGUAUUUACUUUUAUGGGAACUGAAUUUUGUUUGUAUUAAAGUUGUUUUGUUUUUAAACAUACUGAAGAAAAAAUAAUGUGUUUUUGGGUCAACUUGAAGUAUCGGUCUGAAGUGUAAAAUUAAGAUCAGAGGUCAAAUGUGACGAUGCUCUUUCUAAACGCUGAGCGUACGCACCACACUCAUAAGACUCACAGUUUCUAAGGUGUGAGGCUUCGAGACCUUGGUGGAUAUGAGCCAGACUGAGUUAUUGUAUUGUUAAUAGGACCCCACUCUAGACCUCUACAGAUUUUCAUGAGAAUUCAUGCUGUUGUGUUCACAGACUCACACAUGCAAACAUGACAAAACAACAGAAACUCCUUGGUGGAGAUAAUUCAACAAAGUAGUGUUUAUAUAUUCUGUUGCAUCAUUUUGCCUUAGUUGUAGUUUGUUUGCAUCAGUAUUGGUUAUUUAUUUUAUUUAUUUAUUUUAUUUUAUUUUAUUUUUUUCCUCGCCUGUCCCAUUUGGUUCUUUAGCCGUCAGAAUUGUUGUCUGAAGACCAACAAGGAUACCCAAUGGAUUUACUUUGCCAAAUGGAUCAUCGUGGCAUUGCCGUAUUGGUCCAUUUGGUCGAUCUUUGUUUUUAUUAUUUAUUAUAUUUUUCAGACCAAACAUUGUUACAUUAUGUCAGACGAUUUUGUUUUAUUUCAUUAUAUAUUUUUUGUUUAUCUGAACACAUACGUGUGUGUGUGUAUAUCUACAUAUAUAUUCGUAUCUGUAAAUGAAAAUAUAUGUAGUGUGUAUAUAUUGUUUUUUGUUUUAUAUGUCUGAAACAAAUAAAGAUACAAUACAAUUUUCAGAUGUUACAGACGGGACAGACAUGAGUGAGGGAUAGGAAAGGGAGAAAGAAAGAGGAAGGAAAGGAAAAACAGAAGGGGAGAGGGACAGUGAGAAAGGGGGGGAGAAAAAAAAAUCUCCUGGAUCACCUGUUGAGAGAAGAAUAGAAAACAAGCAAAAAAAGACAAAAAAAAGAAACAAAGCAACAUACUAAACACAACACCAUCGCAUUAAUCUAGCUAAGUGUAAACAGCAGUAAAUACUAAAUAUUCAAUGUUGUUGUGCAGCACGCAGGACAGAUGUGCUUCGAAGUAGCAGCCAAGAAAGGUGUAAUUUGGGUCUACGAGCAGUGAACACCCGUGUGCAUACCUGUGUGGAUCAGCGCGCUUGUAUUCCAAAGGUUUCUCCAUG